GCUGAUAUGGCUCAGGUGGUAGAGCGCAUCCUUGGUAAGGAUGAGGUCGGCAGUUCGAAUCUGCCUAUCAGCA
rnacentral:tRNA from 2 species